rnacentral:lncRNA from 1 species
CUGUUUAAAGAUAUGAGAGUCCACCUCUUGCAUCAGUGUGACCUGGAUGUGAGACGUAGAGUCAAAGGAGAUCAUUUUGGAACUUUAAAGUUUAAUGGCUGCCCUAUUGGAUUUUUGAAUUGCAUGGGGGCCUGUAGGGCUUUUGUUUUGGCCAAUUUAUUCCAUUUAGAAUGAGUGUAUUUACCCCAUGCUUGUACCUCAUUGUAUCUAGGAAGUAACUAACUUGCUUUUGAUUUUACAGGCUCACAGGCAGAAGGGACUUGCCUUAUCUCAGAUGGGACUUUGGACUUGGAUUUUUGCUGGAAUAAGUUAAGACUUUAGGGGGCUGAUUGUGUUUUGAAAUAUAAGAAUGUGAGAUUUGGGAGGGACCGGGGUGGAGUAAUAUGGUUUGGCUGUGCCCCUACCCAAAUCUCAUCUUGAAUUGUUCCCAUAAUCCCCACGUGUGGGAGAAACCUCAUGGGAGGUGAUUAGAUUAUGGGGGUGAUUCCCCCAUGCUGUUCUCGUGGUAGUGGGUGAGUUCUCUUGAGAUCUGAUGAUUUUAAAAGGCGCUUUUCCCCCUUCACUCUGCCCUUCUCUCUCCUGCUGCCAUGUGAAGAAGGACAUGUUUGCUUCUCCUUUUGCCAUGACUGUCAUUUUCAUGAGACCUCGCCAACCAUGCGGAACUGUGAGUCAAUUAAACUUCUUUCCUUUAUAAAUUACCCAGUCUCAGGCAGUUCUUUAUAGCAGCAUGAGAAUGGACUAAUACAAUUUCCCAUAGAAACUUUACUGCACAUGAUGUCUGGUUUGGUGGAACUCUACGCACAGUGCCUUCAGAGGACUUGGGGUGGAGAAUUUGACCUGAGGUGUUUGCAGCAACUUAGAAACUAUCUGGAAUGAAAGCACAAUGAGGACCUAAUGGCUCCUCUCCUGCUUCAGACCACUGCAUCUUCCAGUGACCUCCAAGUCCUUAAACCUGGCUGCCUCUCAAGACCCUGCCUUUCAGGGCCAGGCACCACUCUAGGUACUGAGGAAAACGAGUUUGUUGCACCAGGACAGAGGAAGCCUUUUGCCUUUCAUCUGCUUCCAGUCCUUGCUUCCUCCAGUCCUUCGCCUUCAUCAGCUUCUCCCUGCAGAGGACAACCCAGAGGCAAUGUUGACUGCAAGCCAGCUUUUUAAGAGCUCUUCAGAGACAAAUCUUUUCAAAACACCCCCAAAGGCUAGUCCUGCACAUGUAGUUUCAUAAAAACUACGUUGAUGAAAAAUUUCCUGUUCUAGGGAAAAAAUUACCUGGUGCUAAACAUGUUCCAAUUUUUGUAAGUCUAGUAUUUUAUCACAGGCUAUUGUCUUUACUUAAUUAGCAAUGAAUCACCCACAGAAAUAUUUAUUGACAUCAGUUAUAGCCCCAGAAUUACAGUCAAUGCUUAUAAAAACUACAAAAGGUGUUUAUGAUGUGAUUUAGAACUGUGUCCCCACCCAAAUCUCAUCUUGAAUUUUAAUCCCCACAUGUUGAGGGAGGCACCUGGUGGGAGGUGAUUGGAUCAUGGGGGCAGUUUCCCCCAUGCUGUUCUCACGAUAGUGAGUGAGUUCCCAUGAGAUCUGAUAGUUUAAAUGUGUGGCACUUUCUCCAUCUCUCUCUCUCCUGCCAUCAUGUAAAAUGUAACUUGACUCCCCUUCACCUUCCACCACAAUUGUAAUUUCCUGAGGCCUCCCCAGCCAUGCAAAACUGUGAAUCAAUUAAACCUCUUUUCUUUAGAAAUUACCCAGUCUCAGGUAGUUCUUCAUAGCAGUGGGAAAAUGAAAUAAUACAGUUACUAUUUCAUAUUGGAAGCAACUAAAAUUUUUGGAGACCUAGUCUAUUCCAGUCACUAUCAGAUCCAUCUCAUCAGAGUUCCUCAUGGAUUCCUAAUCUUUUCG